AUGAACUGAGGUGCAGGCGCGCUACACUGAUGCGCCAAACGAGUUUUCGACUUUGCCCGAAAGGAUUGGCUUGCUUUGCAAAACGCAUCGUGAUGGGGCUAGAUUAUUUCACGUAUGAAUCUUCAGUGAGGAAUUCCUUGUAAGCCCUUUGUACAUACCGUCCGUCGCUCCUACUGAUGGAGUGAUCUAGUGAAUAAUUCGGACUGCCGCAGUGUUCAUGUCCUGAAAGUUGCAGUGGAAAGUGUAGGGAGCCUUAUCAUUAAGGGUAAGGAGAAGUUGUAACAAGGUUUCCGUACGUGAGCAUGCG
rnacentral:rRNA from 10 species